rnacentral:rRNA from 1 species
GAUGAACGCUGGCGGCGUGCCUAACACAUGCAAGUCGAGCGAUCUUCUUCGGAAGAGAACGGCGGACGGGUGAGUAACGCGUGGGUAACCUGCCCUGUACACACGGAUAACAUACCGAAAGGUAUGCUAAUACAAGAUAAUAUACUUUUAUCGCAUGGUAGAAGUAUCAAAGCUUUUGCGGUACAGGAUGGACCCGCGUCUGAUUAGCUAGUUGGUAAGGUAACGGCUUACCAAGGCGACGAUCAGUAGCCGACCUGAGAGGGUGAUCGGCCACAUUGGAACUGAGACACGGUCCAAACUCCUACGGGAGGCAGCAGUGGGGAAUAUUGCACAAUGGGCGAAAGCCUGAUGCAGCAACGCCGCGUGAGCGAUGAAGGCCUUCGGGUCGUAAAGCUCUGUCUUCAAGGAAGAUAAUGACGGUACUUGAGGAGGAAGCCCCGGCUAACUACGUGCCAGCCGCCGCCGUAA